UACGUAGGGCGCAAGCGUUGUCCGGAAUUAUUGGGCGUAAAGAGCUCGUAGGCGGCUUGUCACGUCGAUUGUGAAAACCCGAGGCUCAACCUCGGGCCUGCAGUGGGUACGGGCAAACUAGAGUGCGGUAGGGGAGAAUGGAAUUCCUGGUGUAGCGGUGGAAUGCGCAGAUAUCAGGAGGAACACCGAUGGCGAAGGCAGUUCUCUGGGCCGUAACUGACGCUGAGGAGCGAAAGCGUGGGGAGCGAACAGG
rnacentral:rRNA from 1 species